GAGGGCCCUAGGGGCCCUGGGGCCGUGCUGGGAGUGCCAGCGCCGCUCGGCACCAGGGUUACCUCGCCGAUGACUGGAGAUGGCUGGCUGACACGGUGUUAUCGCAGUUAAACACAGGUAACCUGGUGAAAAGGGAAGUGGGCUCAGAGUCGACACCAGGGAAUCUGGGUGAUUGUAACUAUAGCAACACGGUUAAGUGUUCAAAGUUGAACUGGUGAACUGUCAAUGUGUAUUUUGCCCGGUUACUUACAGGCCAUGUUAACUAAACAUAGCACUCCUCAGCUCAAAGUGACAGUCAUAUCAGAGUGUGUUAAAGUACGGUCCACUGCAUGUUAUUGGAACAGAGAAUGUGCAUCUCAGGGUAAACGUGUCAUUUAAACACAGAGAGAGAUUGUAGAGAAUGAAUUUCAUAGCAGAGCAACGUUAGACCCAUGAAUCAUUUUUGAAACAUGUCUCCCUCUGCUGCCGGCAGCAUCUGAAGUGGCACAUGGAAACCGUUACGUUCUGUUCAGAGUGAAUAAGGAUUGGGCAAUAAAUGUCAGGAAAUGACCACCAAAAAGGUAUAGCUCCGGAUCAAAGAUGGCGUAGGGGUCUCCCUUGUAUCCGGCGUUGUGCCUUCAUGAGAUGAGGACAGAUAGCCACGCCCCUUAACUCCUGAUGCAGGUGUAUCUGCCAGCUGGGACGCGGUAUUGGUCUGCCCAAUGUCACACAGAGACAGAGACACAGACAGACAGAGACACAGACAGACAGAGACACAGACAGACAGGCAGGCAGGCAGGCAGGCAGGCAGGCAGGCAGGCAGGCAGGCAGACAGACAGACAGACAGACAGACAGACAGACAGACAGACAGACAGACAGACAGACAGACAGACAGACAGACAGACAGAGAGAGAGAGAGAGAGAGAGAGAGAGAAUCUAGACAUAAAACAAAAUAAUGUGGAUGUAUACCAGCUGUAGUACUCUUCUCCCGGACACAUCUGUAAGGCAGUAAUGAGAUAUUCGCGGGGCACAACUCCUUUUUCUUUUCUUCUCACACCAAAACCUCCCCUCUUGUAUUAUCUCUAAACAAUAACAUGAGGCGUAAGGAGACAAAAACCGACAGAGAGAAAUAAAGAAAUGAGGAUUAAAUCGUGUCCGCGUGUUGCAGCAGAGGCCUCCGACAGAGGGGGAGGCGGGAGGCAAGAGGCCGUGCCCCUCGUGGAGGCCAUGGUGGAAGCGUUGAUGAGAUUUCACGUGUCAGCCUUAAUAUCGUCUUGGCUCCAUCUCGGGGCUUAGGCUCCAGAGAUGAUACACUCGGUAUUUCUGUUUCGCUGGACGGCGUCCAAAAUCUGUCCGUUGCCUGGGAAGAGUUAUUAAGCCGUCGGGACGGUGUCCAGACGAUGGUGCGGAGAGAGGGCGGUUCUCUUAGCAGGCGCCCUCUGACCAGGUGGAGGCUCUUUGGGCAGGACAACACCAGAGGAGAAAGUUCUGUCUUCUUUUUGAUGACCUGUACUCAAAGAUGAACACAAGAAGGCUGUGGUAAACAAAAACUGAUAAUAUUAGAACCGCCCACCUGUUUAAUCAGUGAACACUGUGAAACACGGUUCUGUCUAAUCUCCUGAUGUAGCGGACUGGUGAAAAAUAAAUAUGGUUGACUAUGAUGAAAAACUUCAUAUUUAAUGAUAAUGUUUUUAUUCUUUGGUUAUCCGUUCAUACCAUGUUCUUAAUUGAUCUUUCACCGUACCAAAGGGUCUACCUCCUUCCUUCCUCCUCCUGAUAGCCCUCUCCCAUAUGCGGGCCAAAGAUAAUACACAUACCCAGGCCUCACAUCAAGCAGUUUAACUCCCCCCAAUUUUUUCCGAUCACAAAGUACUUAUCGAAGUGACCAUUUUUCAUUUCAUCCCAAUGCUGGCGGAGUUCCGGGGGGUGAGAUUGUCAGAGUGAAAUCAGAGGUCCACAGAUGUUCUCAAGAUGGUUUUCUCCCCCUCCUCCUCCUCCUUCUUCUUCUUCUUCCUCUUCUUCCUCUUCUUCUUCAUGUCAGUUUGCAGAUUAUCCCCUGUAGCAAAAACCUCAUUAAAGUGCAAUUUACUGAGACAUGCUGAUGUUACCAUCAACCAAAAUUAAAAAGCAUUAAUUUCUCACAGAAGUUCACUAUGGAACCAAGUCCCUCACAAUGAAUUGAUGUAGCACUUUGUGGCAAGCAUGAUUUACCCAAAGUAUGAUUCGGGAAGAAGAAUGAAGUAGAGCGAGGAAGAAAUGACUAGGGAUAGAGCCACACAACUCUACAAGAUAAUGUAGAGCCAUUUAGUCUAGAGAGCAUUGGUGACGAGAUGGGCGCAUUAUGGUCUGUCCUGCUGGGCCGGAGAAGAGAAAGGAGAGAAAGAUGAGACCCUGGUUGGAGGUGAGGACGAGCAGACACACAGGGGGACUUUUACUGUGACGGGGCUUUGGUCCCUGAUCUUUCUGCUGUAAUAAUGACCGCUGAUGUGGGGAUUAAGAGCGUGAAUAAGGGGUCACUAAAUCCAG
ensembl:lncRNA